rnacentral:misc_RNA from 1 species
GUAGGUGAACCUGCGGAAGGAUCAUUAACGAAGACUUGGGCGCCCGCGCCCUUCUCGUCGUCCACCCUGUGCACCGAGACUUUUUUCGCGCUCCAAAUGUCGAGGAUGAUAACGAAAUUAAAUUGGCACAAAAUGAAGCAACGGAUCUCUUGGCUCUC